rnacentral:misc_RNA from 1 species
CCAAACUUGGUCAUUUAGAGGAAGUAAAAGUCGUAACAAGGUUUCCGUAGGUGAACCUGCGGAAGGAUCAUCAAAGAUUCGUGCUUUAUCCCACACACCUGUGGCCUGUUGUUGUUUGUUGGCGGCGUGAGCCCAAGGCUCGCGCCGCCAUCAUCCAUCAUCAUCUUGCAUACACACACCUCGAACCACUUUCUGAUACAAAAACCAAAAAAAACACAACUUUUAACAACGGAUCUCUUGGUUCUCGCAUCGAUGAAGAACGCAGC